rnacentral:rRNA from 1 species
CUGGGUUUGACAUGCACAGGACGUGCCUAGAGAUAGGUAUUCCCUUGUGGCCUGUGUGCAGGUGGUGCAUGGCUGUCGUCAGCUCGUGUCGUGAGAUGUUGGGUUAAGUCCCGCAACGAGCGCAACCCUUGUCUCAUGUUGCCAGCACGUCAUGGUGGGGACUCGUGAGAGACUGCCGGGGUCAACUCGGAGGAAGGUGGGGAUGACGUCAAGUCAUCAUGCCCCUUAUGUCCAGGGCUUCACACAUGCUACAAUGGCCGGUACAAAGGGCUGCGAUGCCGUGAGGUGGAGCGAAUCCUUUCAAAGCCGGUCUCAGUUCGGAUCGGGGUCUGCAACUCGACCCCGUGAAGUCGGAGUCGCUAGUAAUCGCAGAUCAGCAACGCUGCGGUGAAUACGUUCC